AUUGAACGCUGGCGGCAGGCCUAACACAUGCAAGUCGAGCGGAGCGGCGGACGGGUGAGUAUUACUUAGGAAUCUGCAUGCUAGUGGGGGAUAACGUUCGGAAAAGGACGCUAAUACCGCAUACUAUCAGAUGAGCCUAGGUCGGAUUAGCUAGUUGGUGAGGUAAUGGCUAACCAGGGCUACGAUCAGUAACUGGUCUGAGAGGAUGAGCAGUAACACUGGAAAUGAGACACGGUCCAGACUCCUACGGGAGGCAGCAGUGGGGAAUAUUGGACAAUGGUCGAAAGCCUGAUCCAGCCAUGCCGCGUGUGUGAAGAAGGUCUUCGGAUUGUAAAGCACUUUAAGUUGGGAGGCGUUACCGACAGAAUAAGCACCGGCUAACUCUGUGCCAGCAGCCGCGGUAAUUC
rnacentral:rRNA from 1 species